GUGCCAGCCGCCGCGGUAAGACAGAGGUGCCAAGCGUUAGGCGGAAUCACUGGGCUUAAAGCGUGUGUAGGCGGACCGUUAAGUGCCUUGUGAAAUCCCCCGGCUCAACCGGGGAAUUGCUUGGCAUACUGGCGGUCUUGAGCUGCCUAGGGGUCGCUGGAACAAACGGUGGAGCGGUGAAAUGCGUAGAUAUCGUUUGGAACGCCAAAGGUGAAAACAGGCGACUGGGGGCAAGCUGACGCUGAGACACGAAAGCCAGGGGAGCAAACGGGAUUAGAAACCCGCGUAGUCC
rnacentral:rRNA from 1 species